CUUAAUAUCUAAUAUCUACUCUACAUCUACAUCCAGCGUGAAGCUGCGUGCUGAAGCUAGAAAACUUCUGUCCUCAGAGAGCUUACAGCACAAGACAGAGAGCCAGAAUACAUAAAGCAGUAUGUUCCUUAGAUCAAGGGUCAGAAGACUAUGGCCUGUGGGGUAUCCAGCCCAUUGUCUGUUUUCGUGGCUCAUGAGAUACUGAAACCCCCCACCAGGUAGAGAAGUUAACUACAUGAUGACCAGACUGUAGCCAUGAUAUAACCUGCCACAGUUCUAAGAAUUGGCCUCAAAGUAAUGGAAACAAACCGACCUUCGAACUGAAGGUUAACUGUACCUAAAACAACCAAGAUGAAGCCAGUCAGACCACUGAUGACCAAUCUGAAGAUGACUGUCAGAGCUGACUAUACCAUGUAGCCCUCUUCCUCUGUCUAUAAAAGCUCUUCCUCACUGACUGUCAGUAAUGAGGGGGAGUCAGCCUUUGGGCAGACAUCUGCCCUUGCCCUCUGGAUGCUGGCCUCAGAAAUAAAGCAAACUAUUCCUUCCACCAA